CGGCGGACGGGUGAGUAACGCGUGGGUAACCUGCCUCAUACAGGGGGAUAACAGUUAGAAAUGGCUGCUAAUACCGCAUAAGACCACAGUACCGCAUGGUACAGUGUGAAAAACUCCGGUGGUGUGAGAUGGAUCCGCGUCUGAUUAGCCAGUUGGCGGGGUAACGGCCCACCAAAGCGACGAUGGAUAGGGGUUCUGAGAGGAAGGUCCCCCACAUUGGAACUGAGACACGGUCCAA
rnacentral:rRNA from 1 species